rnacentral:rRNA from 1 species
UACGAAGGGGGCUAGCGUUGCUCGGAAUCACUGGGCGUAAAGCGCACGUAGGCGGCUUGUUAAGUCAGGGGUGAAAUCCUGGAGCUCAACUCCAGAACUGCCUUUGAUACUGGCGAGCUUGAGUUCGGGAGAGGUGAGUGGAACUGCGAGUGUAGAGGUGAAAUGCGUAGAUAUCGAUCGGAACACCCAUGGCGAAGGCAGCUCGCUGGCCUAAAACUGACGCUGAGGCGCGAAAGCGUGGGGAGCAAACAGG